rnacentral:rRNA from 1 species
CGCUACGGCGUCGAAGCAGUCUAUGUCAUACUUCCAAGAAAAGCUUGCACUGUCAUAAACAAAUAAUGCCUGUACCAUAACCGACACAGGUGGGUAGGUAGAGUAUACUAAGGGGCGCGAGAUAACUCUCUCUAAGGAACUCGGCAAAAUGACUCCGUAACUUCGGGAGAAGGAGUGCCUUAUUUAUAAGGUUGCAAUAACAAGAUCCAAGCAACUGUUUACCAAAAACACAGGUCUCCGCUAAGUCGUAAGACGAUGUAUGGGGGCUGACGCCUGCCCAGUGCCAGAAGGUUAAAGAAGUUGGUUAGCAUCCGCGAAGCUGAUAACUGAAGCCCUGGUGAACGGCGGCCGUAACAAUAACGGUCCUAAGGUAGCGAAAUUCCUUGUCGGGUAAGUUCCGACCCGCACGAAAGGCGUAAUGAUUUGGAUACUGUCUCGGAGAGGGGCUCGGUGAAAUAGACUUGUCUGUGAAGAUGCGGACUACCUGCACCAGGACAGAAAGACCCUAUGAAGCUUUACUGUAACCUGAAAUUGAAAUUGGACUUUACUUGCGCAGUAUAGGUGGGAGGCGUUGAGAAUAUUCUUGCGGGAUUAUUGGAGCCAUCAGUGAGAUACCACUCUUGUAAUGUUAGAUUUCUAACUUUGUAUCAUUAUCUGGUCAAAGAACAGUUUCAGGCGGGCAGUUUGACUGGGGCGGUCGCCUCCUAAACGGUAACGGAGGCGCACAAAGGUUUCCUCUGAACGGGUAGAAAUCGUAUCUAGAGUGUAAAGGCAUAAGGAAGCUUGACUGUGAGACCUACAAGUCGAGCAGGGACGAAAGUCGGUCUUAGUGAUCUGACGGUGCUGAGUGGAAAGGCCGUCACUCAACGGAUAAAAGUUACUCUAGGAUAACAGGCUGAUCUCCCCCAAGAGUUCACAUCGACGGGGAGGUUUGGCACCUCGAUGUCGGCUCAUCGCAUCCUGGGGCGGUAGUACGUCCCAAGGGUUGGGCUGUUCGCCCAUGAAAGCGGUACGCGAGCUGGGUUCAGAACGUCGUGAGACAGUUCGGUCCAUAUCCGGUGUAGGCGUUAGAAUAUUGAGAGGAGCCUUCUUUAGUACGAGAGGACCGAGAAGGACAUACCUCUGGUGUACCAGUUAUCGUGCCAACGGUAAACGCUGGGUAGCUAUGUGUGGAGUGGAUAACCGCUGAAAGCAUCUAAGUGGGAAGCCCACCUCAAGAUGAGUACUCCCAUGGGGUUAACCCAGUAAGGACACGGGAAGACCACCCGUUUAUAGGUUCUAGAUGGAAGUCCAGCAAUGGAU